GCCUUCAUAGCUCAGUGGCUAGAGAGCUGGUCUAGUAAACCAGAGGCCGGGAGUUCGAUCCUCCCUGAAGGCA
rnacentral:tRNA from 1 species